rnacentral:misc_RNA from 1 species
AGUAGGCAAUUAUCCGGAAUCCCAGAGCCAUGGCUAGUAGCACCCAGACUUCUUGCAAGCCACCUUUCAAGUUCACUGUGUCGAAUGACGGUGAGCUCUGCAGAGGCCGGCACCCUCCUUUGCUUCCACAUUCAUAUAACUGAUCUCCAUCAUAUUGCACUUUCAACAGAAGCCUGAACCCGUAGUACAUGAAAGAUAAGUACUUCAACCACUGCAUAAAUUUUGGUAUGUGCUGGACAUAGUAACCUCCAGUGAGAAGAAAUAGCAUUAAAAUCAAAGAAGCAAACAUCCCAGCCCUUUUGAUGCUCAAACUUGCAGCUCCAAAUAGCUCUCCUGCCCCUUGGCUUGUGAUUGCUAUCAAUAGUAUGGUAAACAAUGUUAAGAAGAAGCAAGGGACUGUCCUCUUAAACCCUGCCAUGAAGUACACUAUGACCAUGAAAAAGGUAGGAUAGAACACAUGAGCCAUCAUGUCACACAGAGUGCUGCAUACAUAGUACACACUUAGUCUGUACAUGUCUGCUUUCCUUUCUUUCACCAAAUAGAUCUUCUCGAACGGAAACACGUAUACUGCUCCAAAAAUCGAUGAGGAUGUCCAGAAAAUGCAGAUGUAGAACAUUAAACCAACUUGAUCUCUGAGUUGUGCCUCGGUUCCAGUUUUGGAUUUCCACCAAAGAAGGCCUAAUAAGACUGCAACACCAAGAGCUUGAACUAGUCUUA